rnacentral:rRNA from 1 species
AAAUUGAAGAGUUUGAUCAUGGCUCAGAUUGAACGCUGGCGGCAGGCCUAACACAUGCAAGUCGAGCGGAAACGAGUUAUCAGAACCUUCGGGGGACGAUAACGGCGUCGAGCGGCGGACGGGUGAGUAAUGCCUAGGAAAUUGCCCUGAUGUGGGGGAUAACCAUUGGAAACGAUGGCUAAUACCGCAUGAUGCCUACGGGCCAAAGAGGGGGACCUUCGGCCUCUCGCGUCAGGAUAUGCCUAGGUGGGAUUAGCUAGUUGGUGAGGUAAGGGCUCACCAAGGCGACGAUCCCUAGCUGGUCUGAGAGGAUGAUCAGCCACACUGGAACUGAGACACGGUCCAGACUCCUACGGGAGGCAGCAGUGGGGAAUAUUGCACAAUGGGCGCAAGCCUGAUGCAGCCAUGCCGCGUGUGUGAAGAAGGCCUUCGGGUUGUAAAGCACUUUCAGUCGUGAGGAAGGUAGUGUAGUUAAUAGCUGCAUUAUUUGACGUUAGCGACAGAAGAAGCACCGGCUAACUCCGUGCCAGCAGCCGCGGUAAUACGGAGGGUGCGAGCGUUAAUCGGAAUUACUGGGCGUAAAGCGCAUGCAGGUGGUUUGUUAAGUCAGAUGUGAAAGCCCGGGGCUCAACCUCGGAAUUGCAUUUGAAACUGGCAGACUAGAGUACUGUAGAGGGGGUAGAAUUUCAGGUGUAGCGGUGAAAUGCGUAGAGAUCUGAAGGAAUACCGGUGGCGAAGGCGGCCCCCUGGACAGAUACUGACACUCAGAUGCGAAAGCGUGGGGAGCAAACAGGAUUAGAUACCCUGGUAGUCCACGCCGUAAACGAUGUCUACUUGGAGGUUGUGGCCUUGAGCCGUGGCUUUCGGAGCUAACGCGUUAAGUAGACCGCCUGGGGAGUACGGUCGCAAGAUUAAAACUCAAAUGAAUUGACGGGGGCCCGCACAAGCGGUGGAGCAUGUGGUUUAAUUCGAUGCAACGCGAAGAACCUUACCUACUCUUGACAUCCAGAGAACUUUCCAGAGAUGGAUUGGUGCCUUCGGGAACUCUGAGACAGGUGCUGCAUGGCUGUCGUCAGCUCGUGUUGUGAAAUGUUGGGUUAAGUCCCGCAACGAGCGCAACCCUUAUCCUUGUUUGCCAGCGAGUAAUGUCGGGAACUCCAGGGAGACUGCCGGUGAUAAACCGGAGGAAGGUGGGGACGACGUCAAGUCAUCAUGGCCCUUACGAGUAGGGCUACACACGUGCUACAAUGGCGCAUACAGAGGGCAGCCAACUUGCGAAAGUGAGCGAAUCCCAAAAAGUGCGUCGUAGUCCGGAUUGGAGUCUGCAACUCGACUCCAUGAAGUCGGAAUCGCUAGUAAUCGUGGAUCAGAAUGCCACGGUGAAUACGUUCCCGGGCCUUGUACACACCGCCCGUCACACCAUGGGAGUGGGCUGCAAAAGAAGUAGGUAGUUUAACCUUCGGGGGGACGCUUACCACUUUGUGGUUCAUGACUGGGGUGAAGUCGUAACAAGGUAGCGCUAGGGGAACCUGGCGCUGGAUCACCUCCUUAAACGAUGAU